rnacentral:ribozyme from 13 species
UUUUUUUUUUUUUUUUUUUUUUUUUUUUUUUUUUUUUUUUAAAA